rnacentral:lncRNA from 1 species
UGUUUAAUAUCUCGGUUUCCGAAUACUCCACCCCAUAUUUCUCACCAAUCUUUCUAUAGAUCUGCAAUAAGUACCCAUAUUUCGUGUGAUAACUCUGAAAACAGGGCUCUGAAUUUUCUGUUUAGUUUUUGCCUUUUGGGAAAGAAUGAGGAAAAGUGAAAGGAAAAUUGACAAGAGAUAGCAUGUUUAAGAAGACUUUUCCUUUAUUCUUUCCCAAGAACCAAACACAUGCGCAGGAAGAGAGAGAGGAAAAAAGGGGAACGAGAAGAGUCCAUCCCCGAGAAGAAAAACCCAAAAACAUCAGCACAAAAACCGAAAAUGCAAACCUGAUCAUGCAAACACAUGGCUAAGCACCCGUAUUUUGUGUGACAACACUGAAAUUAUCUGUUUGCUUUUGGGAAAGAAUGAAGAAAAAAUGAAAGGAAAAUUUGCAAGACAUGGCUUGUUCAGGAAGACUUUUCCUUAAUUCUUUCCCAAGAACCAAACACAUGCGCUAGAAGAGAAAGAGAAAAAGAAAAAAAAAAAAAAAAGUGGAAAGAGACGAGUCUAUUCCCAGGAAGAAAAAACCCAAAAACAACUGCACAAAAGUCGAAAAUGCAAACCUGAGCCAUGGGCUGUGAGGGAACAAGAAGAGUACCGACGGCAUCAACCAAGAGAGCCUUGUGAGUUAUCUCUCCGUACAGAGCUUUUCUAUACUCCUCGUAAUCUUUCAGUCCCAAAACCUCAAACCCACCCAAACCCAGUCUGGACUCGUUCGAAGCCACGGCCGCAGAAGAAGAAUAACAGCGAAAAUGGCCUAUUCCCCCAAAUGGGUCGUCCAGAAUCCUCCGAGAAAAGCCAUUGGCACAAGGCCCAGUUCUGAGACAAGCUGUUUUCUCUAUGAGACAAUUUAGAACCCUAGAUGCCUUCGUCCUAGAAGCCAUUAGAGCCAUCUCCGUGCUUCAUUUGAUGUGAGCACUUCAAUGCCUCCCUCUUUAAAACUCU